UCUGGUGUCAGCCGCCGCGGUAAAACCAGCACCUCAAGUGGUCAGGAUGAUUAUUGGGCCUAAAGCAUCCGUAGCCGGCUCUGUAAGUUUUCGGUUAAAUCUGUACGCUCAACGUACAGGCUGCCGGGAAUACUGCAGAGCUAGGGAGUGGGAGAGGUAGACGGUACUCGGUAGGAAGGGGUAAAAUCCUUUGAUCUAUUGAUGACCACCUGUGGCGAAGGCGGUCUACCAGAACACGUCCGACGGUGAGGGAUGAAAGCUGGGGGAGCAAACCGGAUUAGAUACCCGGGUAGUCCCAGCUGUAAACUAUGCAAACUCAGUGAUGCAUUGGCUUGUGGCCAAUGCAGUGCUGCAGGGAAGCCGUUAAGUUUGCCGCCUGGGAAGUACGUACGCAAGUAUGAAACUUAAAG
rnacentral:rRNA from 2 species